AGCGAACGCUGGCGGCAGGCCUAACACAUGCAAGUCGAACGAACUCUUCGGAGUUAGUGGCGGACGGGUGAGUAACACGUGGUAAGUAACCUUUGGGUUAGCUACAAUUCAGGUAAAGUUGACUUAAUACCACUGGGGCCCUUAGGGGAAAGGAUGUCUGGCCAUAAGAGCGGCCCGGGUCAGAUUAGCCGGUUGGGGAUGUACCGGCUGACCAAGAGCACGAUCAUUGGCUGGUCGGAGAGGAUGACCAGCCCCACUGGGACUGAGACACGGCCCAGACUCGGACGGGAGGGAGCAGAGGGGAGUCUUGCGCAAUGGGCGAAAGCCUGACGCAGCCAUGCCGGGUGAAUGAUGAAGGUCUUAGGAUUGUAAAAUUCUUUCUGCGGGGACGAUAAUGACGGUACCCGGUGAAGAAGCCCCGGCUAACUUCGUG
rnacentral:rRNA from 1 species